GUGUCAGCCGCCGCGGUAAUACGAGAGGGGCAAGCGUUAUUCGGAAUGAUUGGGCGUAAAGAGCACGUAGGCGGUUUAUAAAGUCCCUAACAAAAAUAUCAAAGCAAAACUUUGAUUGAGGUUACAGGAUGUAUAAACUAGAGUAAGUAUGAGGAGAAUGGAAUUCCUGGAGUAGAGGUAAAAUUUGUUGAUCUCAGGAGGAACACCGAAAGCGAAGGCAAUUCUCUGCUACUUUACUGACGUUGAGGUGCGAAAGCGUGGGGAUCAAAAGGGAUUAGAAACCCCCGUAGUCC
rnacentral:rRNA from 1 species